CUUAAGUGUUGGGAAAGACGAUGGCCUACUAAAAGAAGCUAGAAGACAAUGGGAAAGAAGAAAACAUGAAGUUGAUUUGAGCUAAGAAACCAUAAGCCUUGGUAGCCCUGACACUUCUCAAACAUCAUGCAUAACUACAUCAACCUCGAGGACUUUCACUUCCUUCUCUUCAGUGGCACUGAAGGCCAAUUCAGUGAUUACCAGGAUGCAGUUGCAGCAAAGGUCCCAGCACAUGGGCUCACUGAGAAAACAGACUUCCUACCACUGUCAUGCGGUUCACUGGGAGGUUAAAAACAUGGAGAGUUAUCUUCAAGUAUAGAAAGAGUAAAG